rnacentral:rRNA from 2 species
CCCUACUCCUACGGGAGGCAGCAGUAGGGAAUCUUCCGCAAUGGACGAAAGUCUGACGGAGCAACGCCGCGUGAGUGAUGAAGGUUUUCGGAUCGUAAAGCUCUGUUGUUAGGGAAGAACAAGUGCGAGAGUAACUGCUCGCACCUUGACGGUACCUAACCAGAAAGCCACGGCUAACUACGUGCCAGCAGCCGCGGUAAUACGUAGGUGGCAAGCGUUGUCCGGAAUUAUUGGGCGUAAAGGGCUCGCAGGCGGUUUCUUAAGUCUGAUGUGAAAGCCCCCGGCUCAACCGGGGAGGGUCAUUGGAAACUGGGAAACUUGAGUGCAGAAGAGGAGAGUGGAAUUCCACGUGUAGCGGUGAAAUGCGUAGAGAUGUGGAGGAACACCAGUGGCGAAGGCGACUCUCUGGUCUGUAACUGACGCUGAGGAGCGAAAGCGUGGGGAGCGAACAGGAUUAGAUACCCUGGUAGUCCACGCCGUAAACGAUGAGUGCUAAGUGUUAGGGGGUUUCCGCCCCUUAGUGCUGCAGCUAACGCAUUAAGCACUCCGCCUGGGGAGUACGGUCGCAAGACUGAAACUCAAAGGAAUUGACGGGGGCCCGCACAAGCGGUGGAGCAUGUGGUAUAAUUCGAAGCAACGCGAAGAACCUUACCAGGUCUUGACAUCCUCUGACAACCCUAGAGAUAGGGCUUCCCUUUAGG